rnacentral:misc_RNA from 1 species
UCCGUAGUGAACUGCGGAAGGAUCAUUAAAAAAUAGGACUUCCAAUGGGAGUUCAUUAAUAAUCCUACCCUUGUGAAUUUGUUUGUUUGAAAUAAUUUUUUUCCAAAAAAUUAUUGAAUGUCUUUCCUGUUUUUGGUUGAAGCGUAAAAGUGAGACCAAGCAGGGAAUGGCAAACAUUAAUUUUUGAAAAAGACUUUUUUAAAUUAAACUUUUUGUAUUCAUUUGUCUAAAAUUAUUUUAUAAUAUAAAAACAACUUUUGACAAUGGAUUCUUGGUUCUCCAACGAUGAAGAACGCAGCAAAAUGCGAUAAGUAAUGUGAAUUACAGAAUACGUGAAUCAUCGAAUCUUCGAACGCAUAUUGCACUUUUUAGUUUACUAAAAAAGUAUGUCUGUUGAGUAUCAGUAAAUAUUCUCAUAAAAAACUUUUUUGUUUUUAUGUUAUGAGUGUUUACAACGAUAAACAAGUUGUUUCACUUUAAAUUCUUUGAAAUUUAAAAAUCGUUAAAACUAAUUUUAAAAUGAUUUUUUAAAAUUGGAUAAAUUUCCCGUAAAAAAGAAUAACCUAAACAAUUUUAAAAAAUUUAAAUUGGUUGAUUUUUUAAAUCCAAAAGGAAAAAGUAAAAAUUAACUUGAUCUCAAUCAGAUAAGAGUACCGCUGAACUUAAGCAUAUCAAUAAGCGGAGAAAAGAACUAACUAGGAUCCCUCAGUAACGGCGAGUGAAGCGGGAAGAGCUCAAAUUUGAAAUCUUCAGGUUCUACCUUGACGAAUUGUAGUUAAAGAAGUGUUUUCUGUUGGAAUAGUUUGGUAUAAGUUCUUUGAAUAGACAUCAUGGAGGGUGAGAAUCCGUAACGACAUUUAUUCCAGCUCUGUGAUACACUUUCAAGAGUCGGAUUGUUUGGAAUGCAGUCCAAAAUGGUGGUAAAUUUCAUCUAAAGCUAAAUAUUGGCGAGAGACCGAUAGCGAACAAGUACGUGAGGAAAAUGAAAAGAACUUUGAAAGAGAGUUAAACAGUACGUGAAAUUGUCAAAGGAAGCGUUUGACACCAGUGUUGUUUCUCGAAAUCAAUUAAAAAUGGCUUGAUUUGUGUAAGGCGACUUAUCAGCGUUUUGCACUCUUUUCUUGUCCUUUUUAAUGCACUUUCGUUUAACAGUCAACAUCAAUUUCUUUGUUGUAAAGAGUCAUUGGAAGGUGGCUUCUUUCGGAGAAAGUGUUAUAGCUUUGGCUUCUGCAUCGGAGAGAUUGAGUCUGCAGCGUAGAUCCUUCGGGUUAGAUGCAUUAGUGCUAGUUAUAGCCUUCAUAGACACUUGUUGACUAUGAUCAGUCAUGUAGCUUAC